rnacentral:rRNA from 1 species
UACGUAGGUGGCAAGCGUUGUCCGGAUUUAUUGGGUUUAAAGGGUGCGUAGGCGGCUUUGUAAGUCAGUGGUGAAAUAUGGCAGCUCAACUGUCAGGGUGCCAUUGAUACUGCAGAGCUUGAGUACAGAUGAGGUAGGCGGAAUUGACGGUGUAGCGGUGAAAUGCUUAGAUAUCGUCAAGAACACCGAUAGCGAAGGCAGCUUACUGGGCUGUAACUGACGCUGAGGCACGAAGGCCAGGGGAGCAAACGGG